CAGGUUGUUUUAAUUAUCUGAAAGAAGAUCGUGAUACAAAAUGUUUGACUCAAGUAUUUAUCAUGCUUAAAAUGACUAAGAUCAAAAUAUGCUAAAAUGUUGUGUAAUUUCGAGUCCCAGGAGGCUUCAGCUGCUUGACUUCUCAAGAAAACGCCUGUCUUGUGCUCUGUGAGUUUUUCAUUUUCCCACAAAACUGCUGUGACUGGGACUUCUGGGGUGAGGGCAGACAGGCUGGGCUCCUGCUUGCAGAGGCUGGACGUCCAAACCCUUCCCCUAAUGCAGAGAUGACUCAGAACAACUGACAUGAAGGCAGAGCGAGGCCAGGACGCAGUCAGGCCAAACGCCCCCAGUCCACGCCAGGGGAGACUGUGCCCAGGGCUGCGGCACACACGGCCUGAAGCCGGCUGCAGGGAGUGGGCUUGGCCAGCCGCUGGCUACAGCAGGAACUGUGCAGCCUGUGGCCAGGGAGCAGCUGAGGGAGGCAGGAUGGCAGGAAGUGGCUGGGCAGCUCAGGCCACCUGCCACAAGUGGUCGUGGAAACAGAGUCCCUCAAACUGAGCUUGCAAACUGAAGUCCUAAACUAACCUGAGAAAGGCAAGUACAAAUAACAGGAAUCUCAAAAUAAACAAGCUGGAGAUCUUAAAAGAGAUAAAAGAAAGAAGUCCUGACUGUCACACAGUCCCUGGUCUGACUGAGCGGCCAGGCAGGAGGAACACCCAUGCUGAGAGGCCACCCCAUAGGAUCUGGGCUUGUGUUACCCACAAGUUCAAGGAGCAGAGGACGACUGUCCGCUCGGCAAAUGCUCACUGGCACUGCUGUGUCUGCACCAGGCUGGGCAUGGCUGGGGCUCUGGGACUCUGGGACCGCAAGGUCCAGCAUGAUGGGUUCUAAAGCCGGCACCACAGAGCCACCCGGUGAGGUUCCAGCCACCAGCGAGGAGGGCACUCGGUCACCGACACUGGGCUGGGGCCUCGUCUAAUCUUAGGUUGCGAGUCUCUUUGAGAAGGGUACAGAGGUGAACACACUCCAGAGGGGAGGGAGGGAGACCCUGACCGCCAAGGUGACACACACCAGGGAGGGAAGUGGAUGGUGCCUGUCAAGGUGACGCGCACCAGGGCGUGGAGGGGGCUCUGCCGCUGACUGACGGUGAUCUCAGACGUGUGGCCCCGUAGACACCGGCCUCCUGGGUGUUGGGACUGGCGCUAGACCUGGGAAUCACUCAGCACCGGCCCGGCACACAGCAGGUGCUCCAUGAACUCAGCCUCGCUCCCAGGGACACGCCCCCCACACCCACGGUGCUUGCCUGAGCCGGGAGCCCCACGCCCAGGCCCCGCCCGCGCCUCCUACCAGCUCUCGGCUCCACCGUCUUGUUGGCACCCUCCUCCAUGAACACGAACCGCCCUCCACCGAAGUCCUCCAGAGUCUCCAGCCUCAUGCAUUGUUGCCCAGGAUUUCCCGUAAGCCCAAAUGUUGGAGCAGCCGUGUUCCAGCAAAGGCUGCAGGCAGCAGGCCAGCCAGCAGGGUGUGCACGCUGGGCUGGUCCCCCGGUGCCAGCCUCGCUGCCCACACGUGGGAACCAGAGGCAGCGGUGGACGCGCUUUUCUCCUUUCUUCAGAAGUGGAGCAAUCCCAAACUUUUUAAAACUUGUAAUAAAAUGCAGAACCUAAGAUUUACCAGCUUAA